rnacentral:rRNA from 1 species
GACGAACGCUGGCGGCGUGCUUAACACAUGCAAGUCGAACGGAAAGGCCCUGCUUUUGUGGGGUUCUCGAGUGGCGAACGGGUGAGUAACACGUGAGUAACCUGCCCUUGACUUUGGGAUAACUUCAGGAAACUGGGGCUAAUACCGGAUAGGAGCUCCUGCUGCAUGGUGGGGGUUGGAAAGUUUCGGCGGUUGGGGAUAGACUCGCGGCUUAUCAGCUUGUUGGUGGGGUAGUGGCUUACCAAGGCUUUGACGGGUAGCCGGCCUGGGAGGGUGACCGGCCACAUUGGGACUGCGAGACGGAGCAGACGCCUACGGGAGGCAGCAGGGGGGAAUAUGGCACAGUGGGCCGGAGCCUGAGGCAGCGACGCCGCGUUCGGGAUGACGGCUUUCGGGUUGUAAACCGCUUUCGCCUGAGACGAAGCGUGAGUGACGGUAAUGGGUAAAGAAGCACCGGCUAACUACGUG